rnacentral:rRNA from 1 species
CCAGACUCCUACGGGAGGCAGCAGUGGGGGAUAUUGCACAAUGGGGGAACCCUGAUGCAGCGACGCCGCGUGGGUGAAGAAGCGCCUCGGCGCGUAAAGCCCUGUCAGCAGGGAAGAAAAUGACGGUACCUGAAGAAGAAGCCCCGGCUAACUACGUGCCAGCAGCCGCGGUAAUACGUAGGGGGCAAGCGUUAUCCGGAUUUACUGGGUGUAAAGGGGGCGCAGACGGCGAUGCAAGCCAGGAGUGAAAGCCCGGGGCCCAACCCCGGGACUGCUCUUGGAACUGCGUGGCUGGAGUGGGCGAGAAGUGCGCGGAAUGCGUGGUGUAGCGGUGAAAUGCAUAGAUAUCACGCAGAACUCCGAUUGCGAAGGCAGCGCACCGGCGCCCUACUGACGCUCAGGCACGAAAGCGUGGGUAUCGAACAGGAUUAGAUACCCGAGUA